UAAUGUCACGUGUCUGAGAGAGACAGGAAAGAAUACAACCGGAUACAUGGUGGAUUCUCUCGUAUUCUAGCUGGCUAAAUUGUGGACUGUUGUGAAUUUUGAAGGUUUUGGCUCCACUGCCAAUCGGGUUUGCUGUGUUCAUUGUUCAUUUGGCCACCAUCCCAAUCACUGGCACUGGCAUCAACCCUGCUAGAAGUCUUGGACCUGCUGUUAUCUUCAACCAAGACAAGGCUUGGGAUGACCAAGUAUGUAUUCCAAUAUUAAUUAUUCAUCACUUUUAUAUUAUUAUUAUUAUUAUUAUUUAAUUUUAUAUAACGUAAGAUAUUCCGGAGCUCCUCAGAAUUUUCGCUAAUAUAUGUUCUUGUCUACUCUCUUGUUGGUUGCAGUGGAUUUUCUGGGUUGGACCCUUCAUCGGAGCAGCAAUUGCAGCCUUCUACCACCAAUUUAUCUUGAGAGCAGGAGCUGCCAAGGCCCUUGGAUCAUUCAGGAGCCACCCGAGUGUUUGAAUUGAAAUAUUUUCUGAGAAUGUGAUGGGAUUUGGAAAACAAUGUUAAUUAUUAUGAAGGGUAAUAUUUAUAUUUAAUUGUGCUUAACUUAUGCUUUGUGUAUGAAGGUUUCAUUUGGUCAUCUCUCAAUUAAAUUUCCAUCAGAAAAAGGGGCUGAGAGGCCAUGAAUUUGUAGAUAUUGUCACGUACUUGCCUUUGAAUUUACUUCAAUGUCAUUGCCAUUUUCUCAAGA
rnacentral:lncRNA from 1 species